AUUUGCGAUAGAUCAUCCGCUCAAAUAUAAUUUUACAACAUAAUCUUUUAUUUCCUGCAUUUUAAUUAAGCUGAGGAACAUGUUGAUCUAAGAAAGCCUGAGCUAAAUUACUGAAGCUUGUACUAACUCCACCUGCAGCUGCAUAACUCUUGAUUGCAUCAAUUACUUCUGGCUUUAAGAUCUCUUCCUUGUUUGAUGCAUUGCAUAGAUAAUACAAUGCUCCUAGAGCGUAAUUCACCGUGUUCCUAACAGGACUUGACAAACACUGGAUGACGAGAGGGAUACCAUCAUUUUGAGUGACAAGAGCAGCAUUAGCUGGAUCGGAACAAGCAUUGCAGAUUCCUCCAAUCCCAAAUUCCACAAGCUUCUCACUAGGCUCAGUUAAACAGUCGAGAAAAAGUUCUAUAACAUUAAGCUGGCGCAAAAAGGUAAAGUUGAAAGGAUCAUAUGCAAAGUUCGCCAAAUUAGCAACGAUCUUCUCUUUUGUCUCUUCAGCAGAAGCAUUCUGAAACUGAUUCACCAAUUCCUGAAGGUACUUCACCCUUGGAGUCCCAUAUUUUCCGGUGCGCUCUUCUUGCCUUUGGCUAUUUGUAAACAUGUAAACUGCAAUAAGGGAAGAGGAACAUAUAAAAUUAAAUAUUUUUAACAUUUAACAACCAUACACAGACUAGAUUACAGCAACCAUAUAACUAUGCAUCAUGCAAAUAGGAUUAUUUACUACAUAUUAAGUCUCAUUUACUGUUAGUUAGAGCAACGAAAACGAGUUUAAGAGAAACUCCUGUAGGAAAAAGCAAUUGUUAAUCCUUGUAUUAGUAAGAUCAUUCUUCGUUUCUUCUCAACCCUUGCCACAACCGAAAUCCUUCUCACUAUUGCACCUUCAGCUCCUCUUAACCAGUCCCAGAUGAAUCUUCAUUUCUCAUAGCCUCGAAUCCUCCAAUUUCUGUUCCUUGAUCCAAGGUUUCAGCGAUGAACAAGGAAUUUUUUAGCGAAUUUCUCUAUCUCCGUUUUUGAGCAUGGGCGUUUUUUAUUUCUCUCAAAUCUGUAUG
rnacentral:misc_RNA from 1 species